rnacentral:rRNA from 1 species
AACGAACGCUGGCGGCAUGCCUAACACAUGCAAGUCGAACGAGACCUUCGGGUCUAGUGGCGCACGGGUGCGUAACGCGUGGGAAUCUACCCUUGGGUUCGGAAUAACAUUUAGAAAUGACUGCUAAUACCGGCUGAUGACGUAAGUCCAAAGAUUUAUCGCACAAGGAUGAGCCCGCGUAAGAUUAGCUUGUUGGUGGGGUAAUGGCCUACCAAGGCGACGAUCUUUAGCUGGUCUGAGAGGAUGAUCAGCCACACUGGGACUGAGACACGGCCCAGACUCCUACGGGAGGCAGCAGUGGGGAAUAUUGGACAAUGGGCGAAAGCCUGAUCCAGCAAUGCCGCGUGAGUGAUGAAGGCCUUAGGGUUGUAAAGCUCUUUUACCAGGGAUGAUAAUGACAGUACCUGGAGAAUAAGCUCCGGCUAACUCCGUGCCAGCAGCCGCCGUAA